AGUGAACGCUGGCGGUAGGCCUAACACAUGCAAGUCGAACGGCAGCACAGUAAGAGCUUGCUCUUACGGGUGGCGAGUGGCGGACGGGUGAGGAAUACAUCGGAAUCUACUUUUUCGUGGGGGAUAACGUAGGGAAACUUACGCUAAUACCGCAUACGACCUACGGGUGAAAGCAGGGGAUCUUCGGACCUUGCGCGAUUGAAUGAGCCGAUGUCGGAUUAGCUAGUUGGCGGGGUAAAGGCCCACCAAGGCGACGAUCCGUAGCUGGUCUGAGAGGAUGAUCAGCCACACUGGAACUGAGACACGGUCCAGACUCCUACGGGAGGCAGCAGUGGGGAAUAUUGGACAAUGGGCGCAAGCCUGAUCCAGCCAUACCGCGUGGGUGAAAGAGGCCUUCGGGUUGUAAAGCCCUUUUGUUGGGAAAGAAAAGCAGCAGGUUAAUACCCCGCUGUUCUGACGGUACCCAAAGAAUAAGCACCGGCUAACUUCGUG
rnacentral:rRNA from 1 species